rnacentral:rRNA from 1 species
UGGGGAAUUUUGCACAAUGGGGGAAACCCUGAUGCAGCGACGCCGCGUGAUUUAGAAGGCCUUCGGGUUGUAAAAAUCUUUUCUAUGGGAAGAAAAUGACAGUACCAUAGGAAUAAGGACCGGCUAAUUACGUGCCAGCAGCCGCGGUAAUACGUAAGGUCCGAGCGUUGUCCGGAAUCAUUGGGCGUAAAGGGUACGUAGGCGGGUAAGCAAGUUAGAAGUGAAAUCCUAUAGCUCAACUAUAGUAAGCUUUUAAAACUGCUCAUCUUGAGGUAUGGAAGGGAAAGUGGAAUUCCUAGUGUAGCGGUGAAAUGCGCAGAUAUUAGGAGGAAUACCGGUGGCGAAGGCGACUUGCUGGCCAUAACCUUACGCUGAGGUACGAAAGCGUGGGUAGCAAACAGG